ensembl:lncRNA
CUCCCCUCCGCCCGAAAAACCAAAACUGCUCAAUCAAAUGCGGCCACAAUGCGAGACGCUGCCAAGAUGCAGAAACGUCAGCUAUUCAUUUGUGAGUCUCUAAAAGAUGACGAGCACGAUGUCUCGAUGUUUUUCGCUCUAGCUGGUGGAUUCUCCUCCGAUGUGAUGCUUCACAGGUACAGCGUUCUUGGGGCGGCACCUCGCAUGUAUGUUUUGUGUGUCGCCGUUUUACAGCAAACGCGGUCACCCCUUGAUUUGUUCACUGCCAUGGAAACCAUGUGCAUGAAAAUGAAACUAUUGCGGUCAGUCUGGAGUUUGUUGGGCCUACGGAUCCCUUUUUUAAUUAGUCUGUGUGCAUGUCUGAGCUCCUCUGUUUGCCUGCUUUCAUCAGUGCAUCACGUAUGUCUGCAUGUAAAAAAAGUGCAUGCUUGAAAGGGGCGCUUUCUGAUUAAAAAAAAAGGUCACCACUUAAUCUUUUAUACAGUGUCACAUUUGAAUGCGAGGGAUUCACGUGCAAAAGACUCGCGCCAUCUGGCGCAGUAGGACCAGACUCCUGAUCUCACUAUCAACAACAACCGCGGAGAAAAACCGCCAGCGCCAAAACACGCUUUAAAACAUCAGUUGCCGCUGCGUCGCGUUCAUCGGAGCAAUUAUCUGCACACGCCGACGACAUGGUGGUUGGAGGUUAUGCAAAUGCAAUUAGGCUGGAUUUGCAUUUGACAACGGCUAACGGAUGCACAGAUGGCGAACAACAGAGAUGCGCCCUCCAUCUUUGGCACAGGAGAAGACCGGCGGCCAUUUUGUCUGAAUCUGUGCCCGUCUGGAAACGACCACGCUGCAUCGCUGUGACAACGGCAGCAGUUUGGGAGCUUUGUGGUGCACGGCUGCUGCUCGCUGGCUUUCAAGGCCAAGCAAAUACGGUCUAAUCAGACACAAACAGAUCUGUCAAUUGGGGGAAACAUGUAAAUAGUGAAUAGAUCUCUUGUAUGAUUUAAAAUGUUCGGAUUGGAGGAACUUUCAAAAGGAAUCUAAAGGAAGCUAACCUGUUAGCUUCUAAACAUUUUUCAGUGACAAGAGACUUUACUGCUGUAAUUAAUAUCAUAAAAUGAAACUCUUUGAACCAAACAUAUUGGACAUAAGUCACGCACACACAGACACACACACACACACACACACACACACACACAGACAGAAACACACACUUUUAGGUGAAUGAAUGAGGUAAUGAGAGCACAUUGAGAGUUGUUCAGAAUGGAAAAUGUCGAGUGCUGAAGAGUGAUACUUGCCAUUUUACUAUCUCCACUACAAGAUGAGAAGGUCUCUCUGUGAUCUUCUGCUCUCCUUGAUAUUCAGUUAAAAGAUAUAUAUAUAUAUAUAUAUAUAUUCUGGGAUUGAAUACCAGACAUCACGGUGAGAAAAGGCGUCGCUGUUUCUGGUCUUAACUGGCACAUGUUUACCAACCGCAAGCAAAGGGUGGAAGAGAAAAUAAAGACGGUGCUGUCUCUUUGUCAAAUGUAAAAACUGGUUGGGGAAUAAACAACGGAUGUGUUGAGGGCGGAGAGAGAUUCAAAAGCAGGACUCCCAAACGCUUUUCUUCAAACAGCCAGAGGCAGAAAGCGGUGGAUAUGUCAAUCUUGUGAAGGGGGGGGGGAAGAAAGAGAACGGAAUAUCCCUGUCGGCGGUCUUUCAGCAUUCGGGGUAUCACAUGGGGAGCGAUCCCCUUCAGCUGAACCACACACAGCCAGUGGAGAUGGGGAGUGAGGUCCAGUCUUAGGAGCCGGUCUCAGCCUGCAGCUGAGAGGGCCACGCAGGGCCUGUCCUUUGGAGGUCUGUGGGCCCCUAAGGCCACAGACUAACAUGGGGAAGACCACUCAGAGCUGUGCAGGAUCUGUGUUUCAUAUUGAUUUCUCCUACAUGCCGGUAGCUCCAGAGGUGCUUCUAGCCAUCAGGGACCUUCUCCAUCCUUUUCCAGCCUACUCACUAGCUCUCUGCCUGGGCUUCGCCGGCUCUGCUGGACCCCUGGUUGGAGGUAUCGGCCACAGGAGGAGAGGAGGAAGACGAGAGCCCAUGGCAAUGAUGAUGAGCAGCGCUGGGUCUCUGAGUUCAGUCAUCUACCAGCCUUUAUCCAGCCUUCCAACCACCCACCCUUGUUUCUUUCUGAAAAAGGGAAAAGAGCGUGUUUUUCAAAAUCUCACCUUUGGCAUGCAGCGUCCCUCUGCUCAAUGCAAAUGCAAAUGUAAACACUAACACUUUGAUUACAAAUAUGUGGGAAGAAAACGGCAACUUUUGUAACCUGCCCCAAGGCCCACGCAGCUAUACAGAAACAAAAAGAAAUGCUCAGCGUACUGUAUGAAACACACACACAUCCAUCUCUGCAGCUGGUUUUAAAAUGUAUUAUUGUCCCAAAAAUUAAAAUCACUCACAAUGAAAUUGUUACACUUAACCUUCAUUGUUUGAUAUUACUAUUGACAUUUACUACAUGGCGUCGUUUUUUACGCACGUCUCGCGACUGGCAAAACUGAAACAAUGAGCAUGAUAACAGCUUUGAUGACAAAUAGCCUGCACGGAUUCCUUCACUGCAUCUUGAAAAUUUCUGAAAGCAUUCUGAAUCCUGUUAUCAUGCUAAUGCAACAUUGUCCUUUACGUCUCGCUUUGUUCUUUUCUAUGAGAAAAAGCGAAUUGCAGGGGCCUCCUUCAGUAACCGCGCACCCACCGGCCCCCGUUUCUAUGAGAAAACACUCGCUCAGUGCGGUUUGCUGGAAAAUUAAUAGGACACAGAAAGUAGGGAGUGAAAGCUGCCGGGGUCAGUUAUGGGACGGUUCGUUUGUGGUUUUGAGUUUCGCCGUUAUGUGCAUGUUUUCAUGUUAUAAUGGGGGUGCACCCCGGAGCAGCCCCUGGCUUGGCCUGUGCAGGGGAGUGACGUGGGGUGAGAUUGGGUGAGCCGGAGGAAGAUUCAGACACAAUGCCCCCAUUGAGAGGGUUCAGACAUGGGUGUUAACUCCCCAUUCCUUCACACACAAUAGGGCCCCCCACUAGAGCCAGCGUAGGGAACAAUGUUGGUUCAGGGCUGCCUUCCAUCCAGCACCAAAGAAAAGAACUGCAUUAUCAAGAUGGGAGGAGAUGGAAGGAUGGAUGGGGGGCGGGAGGGGAGAUGGAGGAGCAUGUUUGUGUAUGAGGGCUGGAGCAGAAAGGAGCCCUGGAUGUGACCCAUGGCUUUGGACUUGAGGAAGAAAAAAAAAACACAGACAAACACAAAUCACUUGGCAUUUAGCUUGAACUGGAAAAAUGUACAGUUAUGUGUCGAUUCAUUAAAUAAAUAAAAAUACAGAUGGUUUGCUAAGAUAUCAGUAAUUUGAAUCAGCAUUAAGGCGUCAUUACAAUUAAAGACCACGUUGGAGCCAAUUCUUAAUACAUACUUGAAUGAAUGAAUUAAUGUGCGGAGCUUUGAGAACACGCCGGUCUCAUGCCGUGCUCAUCAUUUGAUUGAGUGUUUUGCGACUGUAUUUUUUUUGGUAGGAAAGUUCUACAUGCUUGGGCUCUAUAGCAUAAGUGAGCAUUUUGCAUGUUGGCCUGAAUACAAUAAGAAAGGAUGAAUAGCGGAACACAGUUUUUGAAAUAGUGAACAACGUUCCCUUUUAAAGACGGAGAACUAUCAAAAUACCCGUCUGCUUAUUUACAUUUCAAAGGCUUCGCUGAGUUACAGACUCGCUUGUGGAUUUAUACACUCUAAAUGAAAUGAUAGAUUCAGGAGUUUAGCUGCAGGAAUUAAUGCCAUUGUGUUUUUAGCGGCAAAGCAGGAAUCCCAUCCUCCAAACACUUCGGCAUUCAUCUUAAGCGUUCCUCCAAACACCUUAUAACAAGCAUUUGCCUGCUUGCAUUUGCUUGUUAUGUACUCAGCGGUUGAAAGGGAGAAAUUGUUUUUCGCGAGUCGGUUUGGGAGGGAAGUCAACAGCGUUAACAAGCCCUCGGUAGUGUAAGCGUGUAAGCUUUUAUUGUGCCAUUCUUCUCCAGACAGGUGAAAUCUCCUCCGGCUAAACAAAGGGGAGUGCUGCCUAACAUGUAUAAAGGAAGCUAUCAGUUUAUCUGUGGCGAGGGGGGCAGCUGGAAAAUGUUUAUGGAGAUCCCGAGUCUCUCUGGGAGCCUAAUAGAAUCCUGUGGCUGGAGUGAGAGCUCAUUGUGCCGCUGUAAAGGAUUACACUGGUAAACUGGUAAAACAGGGGAAAGAGCCCAAACACCCGUCUACCUCCUACGGAGAAGCAACGAACCAUUGAACAGGGACAGGGGAGAGCAUUCUGCAAGCCGACUCAACGGCGGGGGAAAAAAAGGACGGACCUGGAGAAAGUGGAGGAGCAGCGAGAGGAGGAAGAUAGAAAGAACUAGAUCAGGUGGUUCAUAUUCAUGCAUGUGCACGGGUGGAAUAAAAAAAAAAAAAUCACCUGGAAGUGUGAUCAAAGAUGGAAAGAGAAGGAGGACAGAAGGGGCUGCGUGGACGACAGUUCCUGCAGCGGAAGGUAAUAUGGGGAAAUGAUGUCUGUCUCGCUUGUCUGUCUGCAUCCUGAGUGACAGUUUACAAUAUCAGCAGGUCGGCUUUUUGGCUCCACACAGAUCCUCAUCUUUCUCUCUCUUCGUCUCUCCAUCACACCUCUGGUUCUCGUCUGUUUCCAACCAUCACCAAUCUCCACCAUCACCACCAUCUCUGCAUUUUGCCUUGUUUUAAAAUAGGAAUUUCUGUUCACUGCUCACAGUCGGUCCCCAAUUAAUUUAUCAAUCAUCUUUAUUGUCCUUGUGCUGAAUCAAAGACGUGGAAUUUUCAAGAAUUGAAAAAGAAAAAAAGUACUAGGUUGCCUAAACCUGGCCGAGCAUUGUAAUGAUCUCCGACGGGACGUCUGUUCUUUAGCAAGCUGUCUUGGCUUCCCCUUCAUCAGCAAAAUGUUAACUUUUAUCUCUUUUUUCUUCUUUCGUUCUAAACCAAUAUAUUCAUUUUGGCUAAUACUUAAACAUCCGUCAGGAACGAAUCCACAGAGCCUCAAUUGAGAAAGAAGAGCAGGAAGCCGUCCGUCUGAGGAGCCCCGAUGACCCCCGUGUAUAUUUCCCACAGUUUACACAGACGACACGCGAGAUUAGUCUAAUUCUCCUCUCUCCUGCUGUUCAGAUGAAACCACAUUGAGCAUAAUGCAUAUUCUGCAUUCUGAAACCUGCCAAACUGAAAGACUCCUCUCCACUCCACUCUCUCUUCAUCUCUAUUCCUUCAAAGGCUGCAGAGGGUGUAUUCAAACAGCAGGACACACACUCAGCUAACAAACCUCAUUAAGAGCCCAUACACACUUUCUCAAUGCUAACACUAGCUGUAAAACAUCCCCUCUCAAUGCACACACUGCCGGCCACACUGACUGUGACAAAGCAUCUUUACAGAGCUAAUUAGGGGGGUCCCCUCUCCAUUUGAAUCUCAUCUGAAUAGGAGGGAAGAUGAUGACGGGAGAAGUAGACAGAGAAGGGGGGACACGCAGGAGAAAAAAAGCAGAAAGGAGAGAGGAAUAUGCUUAAAGACGUAGUAGUCUCAGGGUGGAAUAGAAGCGGCGAGCUCGCGCGGCCAGGGGGACCUGAAUAAGUGUGACACAGCUCUGUGCGGGUCUGGUGCAGCGGGGAAUUGGGAGGGAACUGAGGAUUGGAUUGCUGUGGCGGUGUCUAGAGAGACAGAGGGAAGUAAUGGGUGUGACACCAGCUUCUCACGGGGACAGCGUUCCAAAAAGCUGGUGGAGAAACGCGGCUCUUAGAGAGACUGCAACAAGCAAAACACAAAAUGUGGAACGGUGAGAUGCAGAUGAACACCGAGCUUGCAGAAAAUAAACUGGUUUUGUCUUCUCUUUGCUUUUGCUUUUUAUGCCAAUUAUUUUUCCAAGCACUUGUUUUUUUUCUAAUUAAAGAGAUGGUGAUCAGUAUUGUGUUUCUAGAACAUCGCCGUUGUCUUUAGGACAGAAGGUCACACUGAGAGUUCAGCGCCAAAAACAUUCCUCCAUAGUUGCCAUAUCUUCCCUCAGCUUUCCUACAUUUCAUGUUCACAUGUUUCUUUUGUGUGUCCUUGAAGCAAGCUGUGUGUGUGUGUGUAUGUGAGAGUGUGUGUGUGUGUGUGCGCGCAGGCAAACAAUGGCAAGCUGACAGUUAAGGUCUUGGACCAAACACAAGGCCAAGUUUAUCGGCACACUGAAUGGACUCAUCAACAAUUGCAGAAAUAUCUCCAUAUAACAUUAUUUUUCACGGAAGAAAAAAAUAGAAAGAAAAAAUUUGGUUACAAUUAGGACUUACAGAAUAUACACGUUUAAUGCUUGUUUAAUGUACAGAUUACAUGGCAAUGCAUUUCAAAUAAACAAGAACAGAUUGCCCUAUUCAAAAAUACUGAGAAAACAAACGAAAACAAGUCAAAAACCAGCCCGCUUUCAAACAUCGGCAACAUUUUAAGUUCAAGUUGAAGUUAUGACCUAAUUGUUGUCCCAUCAAGCACAGCAGCCCCUGAUGAGAGUGCAAGGCAUUCUGGGAGAAUAGCAGGUGUCCCCCCCAUGUCACAGAGCUUCCCAGACAGCUUGUUAAUUUGCACAACGUUUACACACACACACACACACGUCUCUCAUCCAUGUGUGCGUGCAUGCAUGUGUAUGUAUGUGUGUAUAUAUUAGCGAUGGGACUUGACCCUAGCGAGCUGCGGCAGUGUUUCGCGUCUUGCUGGGCGUGGGAAAAAGACGGAACCCCUUUUCACAGCUGCCUCAGCCGAG